rnacentral:rRNA from 1 species
CCUACGGGGAGCAGCAGUAGGGAAUUUUCGUCAAUGGGCGCAAGCCUGAACGAGCAAUGCCGCGUGAACGAGUAAGGUCUUCGGAUCGUAAAGUUCUGUUGAAGGGGAAAAAGAGCGGAGAGAGGAAAUGCUUUCUGAUUGAUAUUACUCUUCGAGGAAGUCACGGCUAACUACGUGCCAGCAGCCGCGGUAAUACAUAGGUGCCGAGCGUUAUCCGGAAUGAUGGGGCGUAAAGGGUGCGUAGGCGGCCUGCUAAGUCUGGAGUGAAAGGUACCGGCUCAACCGGUACAGGCUCUGGAAACUGGCGGGCUAGAGAGCAGGAGAGGGAGGCGGAACUCCCUGUGUAGCGGUAAAAUGCGUAGAUAUAGGGAAGAACACCAGUGGCGAAGGCGGCCGCCUGGACUGUUACUGACGCUGAGGCACGAAAGCGUGGGGAGCAAAUAGGAUUAGAUACCCGUGUAGUC